GUGCCUACUUAAGCAACACAUAUACUAAAAAAGGAAGGAUACAGAGAAAAUCGGCAAGGCCCCUGCAUAAGGAUGACAUGCAAAUUUGUGAAGUGUUCCAUAUUUUG